rnacentral:rRNA from 1 species
GACGAACGCUGGCGGCGUGCUUAACACAUGCAAGUCGAACGGUGAAGCGCCUUCCUUUUUGGUGGGUGUGGAUGAGUGGCGAACGGGUGAGUAACACGUGAGUAACCUGCCCCCUUCUUCUGGAUAACCGCAUGAAAGUGUGGCUAAUACGGGAUAUUCUGGGUCUGUCGCAUGAUGGGUCUGGGAAAGAUAUUGUUUCGGUGGGGGAUGGGCUCGCGGCCUAUCAGCUUGUUGGUGGGGUGAUGGCCUACCAAGGCGGUGACGGGUAGCCGGCCUGAGAGGGUGGACGGUCACACUGGGACUGAGACACGGCCCAGACUCCUACGGGAGGCAGCAGUGGGGAAUAUUGCACAAUGGGCGCAAGCCUGAUGCAGCGACGCCGCGUGAGGGAUGGAGGCCUUCGGAUUGUGAACCUCUUUCGCCAGUGAAGCAGGCCUGCCUCGUUUGUGGGUGGGUUGACGGUAGCUGGAGAAGAAGCGCCGGCUAACUACGUG